AGAUUGAACGCUGGCGGCAUGCCUUACACAUGCAAGUCGAACGGUAACAGCACUUCGGUGGCUGACGAGUGGCGAACGGGUGAGUAAUACAUCGGAACGUGCCCGAUCGUGGGGGAUAACUACUCGAAAGAGUGGCUAAUACCGCAUACGAUCUACGGAUGAAAGCGGGGAUCGCAAGACCUCGCGCGGACGGAGCGGCCGAGUGGCAGAGUUAGGUAGUUGGUGGGAAUAAAAGCCUUACGAAGCCGACGAUCUGUAGCUGGUCUGGAGAGGACGACCAGCCACACGUGGGACUGACGACCACCGGCCCAGACCUCCGUACGGGACGGCGAG
rnacentral:rRNA from 1 species